CGGGAUGAACGGGAGCUUGCUCCUUUGAUUCAGCGGCGGACGGGUGAGUAAUGCCUAGGAAUCUGCCUGGUAGUGGGGGACAACGUUUCGAAAGGAACGCUAAUACCGCAUACGUCCUACGGGAGAAAGCAGGGGACCUUCGGGCCUUGCGCUAUCAGAUGAGCCUAGGUCGGAUUAGCUAGUUGGUGGGGUAAUGGCUCACCAAGGCGACGAUCCGUAACUGGUCUGAGAGGAUGAUCAGUCACACUGGAACUGAGACACGGUCCAGACUCCUACGGUAGGCAUCAGUGGGGAAUAUUGA
rnacentral:rRNA from 1 species